AUUGAACGCUGGCGUCAGGCCUAACACAUGAAAGUCGAACGAGUGGCGGACGGGUGCGUAAUGUCUGGGAAACUGCCUGAUGGAGGGGUAUAACUACUGGAAACGGUAGCUAAUACCGCAUACCAUCAGCUUUGCCCAGAUUGGAUUAGCUUGUUGGGGGGGUAACGGCUCACCAAGGCGACGCUCCCUAGCUGGUCUGAGAGGAUGACCGGCCACACGGGAACUGAGACACGGUCCAGACUCCGACGGGAGGCAGCAGUGGGGAAUAUUGCACAAUGGGCGAAAGCCUGAUGCAGCCAUGCCGCGUGUAUGAAGAAGGCCUUCGGGUUGUAAAGUACUUUCAGCGGGGAGGCGUUACCCGCAGAAGAAGCACCGGCUAACUCCGUGCCAGCAGCCGCGGUAAUAC
rnacentral:rRNA from 1 species